UACGUAGGGUCCGAGCGUUGUCCGGAAUUAUUGGGCGUAAAGGGCUCGUAGGCGGUUCGUCACGUCGGGAGUGAAAACUCGGGGCUUAACCCCGAGCCUGCUUCCGAUACGGGCAGACUAGAGGUAGGCAGGGGAGAGCGGAACUCCUGGUGUAGCGGUGGAAUGCGCAGAUAUCAGGAAGAACACCGGUGGCGAAGGCGGCUCUCUGGGCCGUAACUGACGCUGAGGAGCGAAAGCGUGGGGAGCGAACAGG
rnacentral:rRNA from 1 species